ACCAAUAUGAUAUUUUUGUCACAAUUCGAUUCAGUACUUUGAACAUGCACAAAUGUGCGAUGUCAUAUUUUUUUUUCGUGUGCGUCAAACGUGCAUUAAAAUACAACAUAUUCUUUCUACUCAUCAUGUUCACUGCCGUUUAUUGCUCUAUAAUAAAUGUGCCUAGUAUUAAGUGUCCACACGGAAUGCAUCGGGUCGCGUCAUCUUGCGUGUACCGGAGCGCUGCAGCUCACAUGGAUACGUCAGACGAUGACACUACAAUGCACAAAGAUCAAAUAGAUCUGAAUAAUUCGUACGAAUAUUAAACACGUUAUCAACAUAACUGCAGCGGAUCCGGCGUUUGAUAAUAUGAAAUAAAUGAAAAGCUUUGUUUUUAUUAUUAUUAUUAUUAUACGAACGUAGCAAUUUCUUUUUCUUUUCGCUCUA